GAUUAAGUUAUUAAGGGCGCACGGUGGAUGCCUUGGCACUAGAAGCCGAUGAAGGACGUUACUAACGACGAUAUGCUUUGGGGAGCUGUAAGUAAGCUUUGAUCCAGAGAUUUCCGAAUGGGGAAACCCAGCAUGAGUUAUGUCAUGUUAUCGAUAUGUGAAUACAUAGCAUA
rnacentral:rRNA from 1 species